UUUAGGGAGCAGCCUGUUUUGUUUCUCUCUGGGUUGGGGUUCUUGUGUGCUCUGAAUUCUAAGAACUAAAGCAGUGUUAUGUUACAGCCCGCCAGCAAGAGUAUUCCAUGUGGGAUAUGAUUUCUCAGUUUGCAUGCUGUGAAGCAUAACAGACUCUGAUGCAGAGGUGGGCGCUCUCUGCCUCCUUCCUAUGCCCUUGGGAGCAGAAGAAUCACAGCUGGGAGCCUGGAGUGGCUCGAACCUCUCCCACAACUGCAUUCGCCACCGUGCCUACACCGAAGGAUCGCAGCUGGAAGGCCAGGCUGCAUUGCACACAUGGGGAUGGGAGAAGCAUCCUUAACACAUUGGGAGCUGGAGGCUCUUUGGGACCCUCCUUGUUCUCGCUGGGCAGAAAUGGAAAGCCUGGAUAAGACGGAGGGCCUGAAAAAGCGUGAAAGCCCUGGUUAUCGAUGUCUUCCAUUUCUCCACGGAACUGGAACAACGUGGGGUAAGUUUCCCAGGCGCUGUUCCCCAUUCUAAAAG